UAAGCAUCCCCAGCUGCCAGGGGGUUCCCCAGAGCAGUUAUUUACUGACGUGGCUCCUGUUGUCACAUCUGACGUGUUCUGUUCACAGCAACGCUCGGGCGUUAUAUAGCCUGAAUUUACCCAAGGUAUUAUUUACAGCGCGUGUUCAAACUUGCUGCAGCCUUUCCAGCGUAGUCAGCGUGGGCCAAGAGAUUUGAUAGUAUUUUUUUGCCUUGUCACAUCUGGCUUUGUGAAGAAGGACCUGCUAAAUAGCUGUACGAUGAUAUCUGUAAUGUCAAGGUGUGACUUUCUUCACUGAGUUUCCCAACAAGUGAUGCUUUGUAGGUCUUAAAUGCAACCUCCAUUCCUAGAGGUCAUGCCGGGAAGUUCUUUUGCCUACUAAGGAGACUUGGCAAAAGGAAGUUCAGAUAAAACAUCAAAUCACUUUGUUUUUCUACUGCUCCUAGCAAGCAGUAGCCCUGUGUCCCUUUCCCUUUGAAAAUGCCUUCUGCGUUUUCCUCCUUUGUCAGCAGGGGAAACAUCAGCUUGUCUGCAAAACGGCGAAAGGCUCCCAGGACACAGAAAGGGCAAUAGAUGUUUAGUUCUGUUGCCAAUUCAUAAUGUAGCACAGCAUUCUCGAAAACGUUCUCGUGCACUAACUGCAUUAUUUGCCGAAUUUGUGUAACUGUUCCGUUAACAUGCAAACUCUGUGCAGAAAACCUUAGCCCGCCACUUACUAGUAGCAUGUUCCUAAGAGACACAACCCAGGUGAAUGAAUACACACUGGUCUGUUCCUCAGUAAGAUUAUAUUCCUGUUUGAGGUGGGAAGAAAUAACCAAAAUGACAGUUUUCCUUUGAGAGGUGCACCGCAGAGGCCUGCGUACUGUUUGAAGCUGUUGCCAAACCAAAGCGUGUGCUCGCACACCUGUUUCAUCUGCCAGUGUACUGACAGAUGUGUAUUCCAAAAGGAUUUGUGAAAACCUGAUAACGUUUUAGUCUAGUCGUUUUCCUUACUACAAGAUGUUCUCUACUUUCACGGAGGUUUUUGCCAGCUUUGUAUGGUGCUGUAGCGCACGCACCACUUAGGCGCAGGUGGUUUAAUCCUAAUGUUGUACAGGAGGAUGCUAGGAUUUGCGUUACUCUGGUUCUGCCUUCAUGUUAGAAAUUCUUAAUUAUGAUCACAUACUCUACCUUUCCGGAGGAGACAUGCUUCGUUCAGUGCAUGAGUGGGCAGUAGUGACUUUUAAUUCCUUUCAAGCCGUGGUUUCUGGAUAUUUGUAUUCCAGCUGUAACAGCAUGGUUAGAAAAACAAGUCAAAAUCAAAACCUGAUUGAAAAUGUGUCACAAGAGUAAGAUUUCAUGGUAUAAUUAUGCAAAACCAGAAGACUUUGUGUUAAAGCAAUUCUGUGUAAAGGAGAUAUAGGUUUUGUAAAAAAUAUUGGCGUUUCCGUUUGAGACGCUAGAUUAAUACCACUGAUUGUCACCAAUAACCUAUUCAUUUUAGGGUGUUGUGUGAAGAAUGCCAGGGGCACACGCACCUAGCGGACUCACAUCCCUGUCUAGGCCCGUGGCCUUUGGUACUGCUCGUGCUUGGAGUUAAAGCCCAUCUGUUGGAGAAUAGCUUCAGAGGCUUAUGAUGUUCCACUGUGUGCUACUAAGCAAGAUGAUGUACAUUCCUGAGACUUCCCCCCCCGCCCCCUUGGUAGUUUAGGAAAAUUUUAGAGCUUUUAAGCUGACAGGUGGCUCAAGAAAAGCAUGCAAAGCCUACUUCAGCACACUAGAGCCCACUGGGAUUCUCCUACUGUCACUCCUCUUGGAUGCAAAUUAGGAGCAAGGCUCUAGCAAGUUCAGCGCUUUCUUAAUCCAAAGCAAAGUGCAAUCCAGAACUGUGAAUACAGAAGAGGAGAAGAUUUUUAAAUCACACUGAACUUUCCUGUCAGAAACUCUGUAAUCUUACUGAGCCUCCUGUGGAUAGAGGUGAUGAGUCGAGCGUGUAGCAGCAGGUGAUGACAGUGCAGGGGCAGCUGAGUGAAGGGAGGGGAAGCAAUAUGAAGGACAAUGACAUUGGCAUCAGUCGAGCUGCUCCCCUUCCCCUGCUCCAGUCCCUGCUGCUCAAACAAAAAACCCUGGAAGUAACCAGCCUGAGUCUGUAGCGGGCUGCUGGAUGUGCAGGUGCUCCAGGCGGGGCUGGAGACGGAGGCGGGAACUUGCUCACGGAGAGAGUCUGUAGGAGGCGGGAAGCACCCAGCACAGGGCGUGCUGCUGAAAUCGUGGGGUACCACCGUGAGGAGUUGGGGUUAGUGCUGGUAUUGUGAGCUUGGGAGCCCCAGCAUGUGGUGAAAGCUGGGGGCAGGCUGGAGCCUCGGCCCUGGGCUGGGGUAGGCAGCUGCAGGGCAGUUGUGCUUGGCAGUGAACGCCUUCAUCUUUGCCGCUGCUCUGGGAAAACAAGCAGCGUUCCUGUCCAGCUCUUUUCUCAAGAGGACCUUGCCAAGAAGGGUGCUGUGAGUCACACAUCUCUCUGGCAAGUACUUGGAUUUCCAUAUUCUAAGACACCUUUACUUCAAGAUUGUCUUGAGCUGCAUUAAUGUCAAAGUUGACUUUAAGGUUGUGUCGGCAGCAGUUAGAGAAACCCACGCGCUGCUCAGCUGAAAACAAGGUGUAUUUUAAGUUGCCUUUUGCUAAGGCGGCUUCGCCCAGUUCAAGGUCAGGGCAUAGGCUGUAACGAGUGAUGUUUAUCAGAAAAGAAUCCCUGUGCAGGGACUUUAUGUAAUUUAAGACUAGCAGAAGCAGUGCAAAUGACUGCUUUAGGCAGCAUGUGAUCUUCUUUGAGCCAGUAACUGUUAUGGGAGCUGAAAAGAGUCACUCUAUUGCUUACUUCACCAGAAUGAUGUAUGUUACGGCCUCAUACUGAUCUGUGUGUUGGCUGCAGAGCUGUGGUCCUAGAUUGUAUUCUUUUUAAAUUCCAAAAAGGAAGAACUGUACAUCUGCAGACGAUGUUUCUGAUAGACUUUUAUUCUAAUUUCAGGUGAGAGGUUACAUCCGUGGAACACAAACAGUGCUUCUCCUGGAGCCGCAGUUUAAUAGCCGUAGUUGCUGUGACUGCUACAGCUUGCUGACUGUCUGAAGAUGAAAUCUAUUCAGACCCAAGCAACUGGUCAGAUUUUGAGACUAAUGAAACUUGAUUUAAAAUAAAACUUUAUUACAUGA